rnacentral:rRNA from 1 species
AUUGAACGCUGGCGGCAUGCCUUACACAUGCAAGUCGAACGGUAACGCGGGGCAACCUGGCGACGAGUGGCGAACGGGUGAGUAAUGUAUCGGAACGUGCCCAGUUGUGGGGGAUAACUGCUCGAAAGAGCAGCUAAUACCGCAUACGACCUGAGGGUGAAAGCGGGGGAUCGCAAGACCUCGCGCAAUUGGAGCGGCCGAUAUCAGAUUAGGUAGUUGGUGAGGUAAAGGCUCACCAAGCCGACGAUCUGUAGCUGGUCUGAGAGGACGACCAGCCACACUGGGACUGAGACACGGCCCAGACUCCUACGGGAGGCAGCAGUGGGGAAUUUUGGACAAUGGACGCAAGUCUGAUCCAGCCAUGCCGCGUGCGGGAAGAAGGCCUUCGGGUUGUAAACCGCUUUUGUCAGGGAAGAAAAGGCUCCUUCUAAUAUAGGGGGCUCAUGACGGUACCUGAAGAAUAAGCACCGGCUAACUACGUGCCAGCCGCCGCAGUAA